rnacentral:rRNA from 1 species
ACGGGCUGCAGAGGCGCGAAAACUUUACAAUGCGGGAAACCGUGAUAAGGGAACUCCGAGUGCCCGUAAAAUCGGGCUGUCCAUCGGUUUAAAUAACCGGUGAAGAAAGGGCCAGGCAGGACCGGUGCCAGCCGCCGCGGUAAUACCGGCGGCUCGAGUGGUGGCCACUAUUACUGGGCUUAAAGCGUUCGUAGCUGGUCUGUUAAGUCUCUGGGGAAAUCUGCCGGCUUAACCGGCAGGCGUCUCAGGGAUACUGGCAGACUAGGGACCGGGAGAGGUGAGGGGUACUCCAGGGGUAGGAGUGAAACCUUGUAAUCCUUGGGGGACCACCUGUGGCGAAGGCGCCUCACCAGAACGGCUCCGACAGUGAGGGACGAAAGCUGGGGGAGCAAACCGGAUUAGAUACCCGGGUAGUCCCAGCUGUAAACGAUGCGCGUUAGGUGUAUCGGUGACCACGAGUCACCGAGGUGCCGAAGAGAAAUCGUGAAACGUGCCGCCUGGGAAGUACGGCCGCAAGGCUGAAACUUAAAAGGAAUUGGCGGGGGAGCC